UACGGAGGGUGCGAGCGUUGUCCGGAAUCAUUGGGCGUAAAGGGCGCGUAGGUGGCUUCUUAAGCGUGCGGUGAAAGCCUGGGGCUCAACCCCGGGUCGGCCGUGCGAACUGGGGGGCUGGAGCACUGUAGAGGCAGGCGGAAUUUCCGGUGUAGCGGUGAAAUGCGUAGAUAUCGGAAGGAACACCAAUAGCGAAGGCAGCUCGCUGGGACGGUACUGACGCUAAGGCGCGAAAGCGUGGGGAGCGAACAGG
rnacentral:rRNA from 1 species